GACGAACGCUGGCGGCGUGCCUAACACAUGCAAGUCGAGCGAGUUGAUUCUCUUCGGAGAUGAAGCUAGCGGCGGACGGGUGAGUAACACGUGGGCAACCUGCCUCAUAGAGGGGAAUAGCCUUCCGAAAGGGAGAUUAAUACCGCAUAAGAUUGUAGCUUCGCAUGAAGUAGCAAUUAAAGGAGCAAUCCGCUAUGAGAUGGGCCCGCGGCGCAUUAGCUAGUUGGUGAGGUAACGGCUCACCAAGGCGACGAUGCGUAGCCGACCUGAGAGGGUGAUCGGCCACAUUGGGACUGAGACACGGCUCAGACUCCUACGGGAGGCAGCAGUGGGGAAUAUUGCACAAUGGGGGAAACCCUGAUGCAGCAACGCCGCGUGAGUGAUGACGGCCUUCGGGUUGUAAAGCUCUGUCUUCAGGGACGAUAAUGACGGUACCUGAGGAGGAAGCCACGGCUAACUACGUGCCAGCCGCCGCAGUAACAC
rnacentral:rRNA from 1 species